rnacentral:rRNA from 1 species
GAUGAACGCUAGCGGCAGGCCUAACACAUGCAAGUCGAGGGGUAUAGGAAGCUUGCUUCCUAGAGACCGGCGCACGGGUGCGUAACGCGUAUGCAAUCUACCUUGUACAGAGGAAUAGCCCAGAGAAAUUUGGAUUAAUGCCUCAUAGUAUAAUUGAAUCGCAUGGUUUAAUUAUUAAAGUUUCGGCGGUACAAGAUGAGCAUGCGUCCCAUUAGUUAGUUGGUAAGGUAACGGCUUACCAAGACAAUGAUGGGUAGGGGUCCUGAGAGGGAGAUCCCCCACACUGGUACUGAGACACGGACCAGACUCCUACGGGAGGCAGCAGUGAGGAAUAUUGGGCAAUGGGCGGAAGCCUGACCCAGCCAUGCCGCGUGCAGGAAGACGGUCCUAUGGAUUGUAAACUGCUUUUAUACGGGAAGAAACACCCCCUCGUGAGGGGACUUGACGGUACCGUAAGAAUAAGGAUCGGCUAACUCCGUGCCAGCAGCCGCGGUAAUACGGAGGAUCCAAGCGUUAUCCGGAAUCAUUGGGUUUAAAGGGUCCGUAGGCGGCCUUAUAAGUCAGUGGUGAAAUCUCCUAGCUCAACUAGGAAACUGCCAUUGAUACUGUAGGGCUUGAAUUAUUGUGAAGUAACUAGAAUAUGUAGUGUAGCGGUGAAAUGCUUAGAUAUUACAUGGAAUACCAAUUGCGAAGGCAGGUUACUAACAAUAUAUUGACGCUGAUGGACGAAAGCGUGGGUAGCGAACAGGAUUAGAUACCCUGGUAGUCCACGCCGUAAACGAUGGAUACUAGCUGUUGGGGGCAACUUCAGUGGCUAAGCGAAAGUGAUAAGUAUCCCACCUGGGGAGUACGAACGCAAGUUUGAAACUCAAAGGAAUUGACAGG